ACAGUGGACGCGAGCAUCUGUGGCCAAGUUUUUAAGGGCGCACGGUGGAUGCCUUGGCACCAGGAACCGAUGAAGGACGUGGGAGGCCACGAUAGGCCCCGGGGAGUCGUCAACCAGGCUUUGAUCCGGGGGUGUCCGAAUGGGGAAACCCGGCAGUCGUCAUGGGCUGUCACCCUUGCCUGAACACAUAGGGCAAGUGGAGGGAACGCGGGGAAGUGAAACAUCUCAGUACCCGCAGGAAGAGAAAACAACCGUGAUUCCGGGAGUAGUGGCGAGCGAAACUGGAUAAGGCUAAACCGUAUACGUGUGAGACCCGGCAGGGGUUGCGUAUGCGGGGUUGUGGGAUCUCUCUUCUGCUGUCUGCCUGCAGCAGGACGAGUCAGAAACCGUUGAUGUAGGCGAAGGACAUGCGAAAGGUCCGGCGUAGAGGGUAAGACCCCCGUAGUCGAAACGUCAGCGGCUCGUUUGAGAGACACCCAAGUAGCACGGGGCCCGAGAAAUCCCGUGUGAAUCUGGCGGGACCACCCGCUAAGCCUAAAUAUUCCCUGGUGACCGAUAGCGGAUAGUACCGUGAGGGAAUGGUGAAAAGUACCCCGGGAGGGGAGUGAAAUAGUACCUGAAACCGUGUGCCUACAAGCCGUGGGAGCGUCGGAUGGAAGCUUGCUUCCAUCUCGUGACUGCGUGCCUUUUGAAGAAUGAGCCUGCGAGUUUGCGGUGUGUUGCGAGGUUAACCCGGGUGGGGUAGCCGUAGCGAAAGCGAGUCCGAAUAGGGCGAUUCAGUAGCACGCUCAAGACCCGAAGCGGAGUGAUCUAGCCAUGGGCAGGUUGAAGCGGAGGUAAGACUUCGUGGAGGACCGAACCCACCAGGGUUGAAAACCUGGGGGAUGACCUGUGGUUAGGGGUGAAAGGCCAAUCAAACUCCGUGAUAGCUGGUUCUCCCCGAAAUGCAUUUAGGUGCAGCGUCGUGUGUUUCUUGCCGGAGGUAGAGCACUGGAUAGGCGAUGGGCCCUACCGGGUUACUGACCUUAGCCAAACUCCGAAUGCCGGUAAGUGAGAGCGCGGCAGUGAGACUGUGGGGGAUAAGCUCCAUGGUCGAGAGGGAAACAGCCCAGAGCAUCGACUAAGGCCCCUAAGCGUACGCUAAGUGGGAAAGGAUGUGGAGUCGCAGAGACAACCAGGAGGUUGGCUUAGAAGCAGCCACCCUUGAAAGAGUGCGUAAUAGCUCACUGGUCUAGUGAUUCCGCGCCGACAAUGUAGCGGGGCUCAAGCGUACCGCCGAAGUCGUGUCAUUGCGAUAUAUACCCCCAACGGGGAUCGUGAUGGGUAGGGGAGCGUCGUCUGCCGGGUGAAGCAGCACCGGAAGGUAGUUGUGGACGGUUGACGAGUGAGAAUGCAGGCAUGAGUAGCGAUUCACACGUGAGAAACGUGUGCGCCGAUUGACUAAGGGUUCCUGGGUCAAGCUGAUCUGCCCAGGGUAAGUCGGGACCUAAGGCGAGGCCGACAGG
rnacentral:rRNA from 1 species